UAGCCAUACUAUGUUGAUACACUGGUUCAUAUCUGAUCACUGAAUUUAAGCAACAUUGAACCUGGUCAGUAUCUAGAUGGGUGACCACUUAGGAAUACCUGGUGCUGUAAG